CUGCGAGAGCGUCCUGGUGUCAGAGAAAGGUAUCCGGAGCGAGUGUGUAGCAACCUUCUCCUGCACAUGCGCACAGGGGACUGGCUACUAGUGGCUCAUGCUGACUGGCUGAGACGGUAAGCAAGUGAAAGCUGCGAAGCGUUGGCAACCCGAGAGCUUAAUCUUGCCAGAAAUAUUAAUUCACGACAGGAUUUUCCAGAGUAAUAACGUCAACCACUCAAUCUAUCUCAUCCAGCCAGAUUUAUAUGAAUGAUAAGAGUUAUAAAAGAUGAAAAAAAAAAGUAUCAGCAACUCAUAAGAGUUGAGUUGACAUGAGACUCUUGUAAGAUAUUUCAUCUAUUUAUUGAUGCUUUUAUUUACUUAUUUAUUAAUUUCAAUUUUUGUUUUCAUAUUUACUUCAUCUCCGGAGUGUCUCCUGUAUAUUAUACGCAGCUACACGAGAAAAAAAAAAAAAAGCUGAACGACUUGGCUGUCCUGCAGCUUGAGUUUUCUUUUCUUGGAACAAGAUUAUUAUAUUCAAUUUCCUCAAAAUGCAACACACACACACACACACACACACACACACACACACACACACACACACCUUGACAGAAGUUCAUAUAACUAUGAUGGUGUUAAAGCUACAAUUAAGAAAUAAAUAAAUAAAACUCACUUUCUUAUUUGACUUGCAGUUGACUUAAGAUUUAUUAAAGUUUUAACGACCACCUGUGAUCUGGUUUCUUGAUCUCAGCUAAACUGCAUUCAUUGCGGCUGUUAGCAAUGUCACAAACGAAAGACUGCGGGAGCCUGGCUCCUUGGCAGCUGUCCGAGGAUCCAUUUUCAAACUACUCAUUGAUAAGAAGUGUCAUCGGCAAUUCUCUACCUUAUUAUGCUGUCUCCAAAUAGUACAGUAGUUUAUACAGUGCACUAGGACUCCCGAGUAAUAACUGGCGUGCAUGCAAGGGUGGACAACAGCAACAUUAUGGAGCUAGUGAGACUAGACCAUCUAUGGUGAGACCUCAGGAGCAGCAGGACAGAAGGGAGGGAGUGCAGGAAAAUCCAUGACAGAGGUGAAGGGAGAGGAUACCAGGAAAGAAGGAAAGGAAGGUUCGCAGCUACGGUCAGCACCUGCCCGGAAGGCUGCGCUCCAACAGCCACCCUCCGUCCAGCCGCCAGCCAGUUGGGUGGAGCGGGACAUGGCUACUCAGGACCUUGAUAAUGCACCAGGAACAAAGCCUGUACUUUGAAGGCUGCUGACGGGCCUCGUGUCGGCGAUACUGCCCACCCGCCGGGGAACACGUGUUAGGAAUGCCAUCUACUGCUGAACUUACCAAGUUGAUCACUAUAGGCAUUAUUAUUAUUAUUAUUAUUAUUAUUAUUAUUAUUAUUAUUAUUAUUAUCAUCAUCAUCAUUAUCACCAUCAUCACCGUCAUCAUGUUGUUGUUGUUGUUGUUGUUGUUGAUAUUUUGUAAAUAUUGGGUUGACUGUCUCACACACACACACACACACACACACACACAUAUUUAACUACAUGGUGUUGCAUCAAUUUAGAUUUGGGUGGAAGUGUGAGAAACAUGGUGCAUUUGUUUCCAAACAAGAUAUAUGGUAGAUGGCUGAAUAAAAAUUCCACCUCGUCUGCUAUGUGGUUCUGAAUGCGGGACGACGCAGUGCCUCCCUCACUCCUGCACGUACUUUUACUGUCUGGGAGGAGCGGGAAGCGAGACACUAUUUUCAGAGGUCAAAAAGAUGAUCUAUCGGGUCCCUAAGAUUUUUUCUUGUUAUUUUCUAUUAACGAUGUUGAAUCCUUUUUAAACUAUUGUUAUAAUUAUGAACACAUUCUUAGAAACCACAACAAUGACUAUAGGAGUCACCUUCGAAAUAAAACGAUAAACGAAACAAACAAAUGAAA